UUUUAAAAAAAACUGCAAAUCCUUUUCCCCAGUUUAAAUACGAAUGUCGCCUGAUCAACAAAAAACUCGAAAUCUCUUUUUUUCUUCUGUUCUGUUGAUAUAACCCUCCGAAUGAUUCCCCAGCAAAAGCAGAGAAAGCAGACUGUUGAUAAUUAUUUGAUUCUAAACAUCUGGUCUGGGGGUUUUUCUAAAAAAUUGUAAAUAUCUUUGCAUUGCAUAUUUAGGCUUCAAAAAAAUAUUCGAAUGCUAGAGGGACUAUCAAGACUUCGCAAUUACCUUCUACUACAAAU
rnacentral:lncRNA from 1 species